rnacentral:rRNA from 1 species
UACAGAGGUCUCAAGCGUUGUUCGGAUUCAUUGGGCGUAAAGGGUGCGUAGGUGGCGCGCUAAGUCAGGUGUGAAAUUUCGGAGCUUAACUCCGAAACUGCAUUUGAUACUGGCGUGCUUGAGGACUGGAGAGGAGACUGGAAUUCAUGGUGUAGCAGUGAAAUGACGUAGAGAUCAUGAGGAAGACCAGUGGCGAAGGCGGGGUCUCUGGACAGUUCCUGACACUGAGGCACGAAGGCCAGGGGGAGCAAAACGGGG